rnacentral:rRNA from 1 species
UACGUAGGGUGCAAGCGUUAAUCGGAAUUACUGGGCGUAAAGCGCGCGUAGGCGGCUUUGUAAGUUAGAGGUGAAAGCCCCGGAGCUCAACUCCGGAAUUGCCUUUAAGACUGCAUCGCUAGAAUCAUGGAGAGGUUAGUGGAAUUCCGAGUGUAGAGGUGAAAUUCGUAGAUAUUCGGAAGAACACCAGUGGCGAAGGCGACUAACUGGACAUGUAUUGACGCUGAGGUGCGAAAGCGUGGGGAGCAAACAGG